rnacentral:rRNA from 1 species
AGGACGAACGCUGGCGGCGUGCCUAACACAUGCAAGUCGAGCGAGGAGAUCCUCGGGAUGAUCCUAGCGGCGGACGGGUGAGUAACACGUGGGCAACCUGCCUCAUAGAGAGGAAUAGCCUUCCGAGAGGGAGAUUAAUACCUCAUAACAUUGCAGUUUCGCAUGGAACAGCAAUUAAAGGAGUAAUCCGCUAUGAGAUGGGCCCGCGGCGCAUUAGCUAGUUGGUGAGGUAAUGGCUCACCAAGGCGACGAUGCGUAGCCGACCUGAGAGGGUGAUCGGCCACAUUGGGACUGAGACACGGCCCAGACUCCUACGGGAGGCAGCAGUGGGGAAUAUUGCACAAUGGGGGAAACCCUGAUGCCAGCAACGCCGCGUGAGUGAUGACGGCCUUCGGGUUGUAAAGCUCUGUCUUCAGGGACGAUAAUGACGGUACCUGAGGAGGAAGCCACGGCUAACUACGUGCCAGCCGCCGC